rfam:Oryzias latipes DNA, chromosome12, strain: Hd-rR.
ACAACGGCUCUUUUAAGAGCCACCCACCAAACCUUUAAGAGCUUG